rnacentral:rRNA from 1 species
UAGGGAAUCUUCGGCAAUGGGGGCAACCCUGACCGAGCAACGCCGCGUGAGUGAAGAAGGUUUUCGGAUCGUAAAGCUCUGUUGUAAGUCAAGAACGGGUGUGAGAGUGGAAAGUUCACACUGUGACGGUAGCUUACCAGAAAGGGACGGCUAACUACGUGCCAGCAGCCGCGGUAAUACGUAGGUCCCGAGCGUUGUCCGGAUUUAUUGGGCGUAAAGCGAGCGCAGGCGGUUUGAUAAGUCUGAAGUUAAAGGCUGUGGCUCAACCAUAGUUCGCUUUGGAAACUGUCAAACUUGAGUGCAGAAGGGGAGAGUGGAAUUCCAUGUGUAGCGGUGAAAUGCGUAGAUAUAUGGAGGAACACCGGUGGCGAAAGCGGCUCUCUGGUCUGUAACUGACACUGAGGCUCGAAAGCGUGGGGAGCAAACAGGAUUAGAUACCCUGGUAGUCCACGCCGUAAACGAUGAGUGCUAGGUGUUGGAUCCUUUCCGGGAUUCAGUGCCGCAGCUAACGCAUUAAGCACUCCGCCUGGGGAGUACGACCGCAAGGUUGAAACUCAAAGGAAUUGACGGGGGCCCGCACAAGCGGUGGAGCAUGUGGUUUAAUUCAAAGC